AUAAAGCUCUCUGGGAAGUUCCAGAUUAACCAAAAUUGACAUAACUCGAAACUAGAAGAGUGGCUAGGGGACAAUUUUAUUCAGUUCCUAAUAUCUCUCAGCGUUUAUGACCAGCAAACAUCCUGUUUCAGACAAAAAGUUUGAAAAGAUAAUGCAAUCCUCCAAAUGGGUCUUAGCUCACAGGUUGAGAACCCCUGCUCUACAGCAUUCUCAGAAGAAUGUGGAGUCCCUUCUUUCCUGGAAGCUGACAGUAUAGUACCAUAUACCAUCAACUACUGCUCACCAGUUUAACGUCGUAAAACACUUACUGCUCAGAACUGAUUGUUACUGUCUAAUCUGAAGGUCAGUAUUAGAAGAAAAAUCAUCACCUUCAGGUAAGUGAACAAACAGCCCAGGUCACUGCACUUCUUUGCCUUUGAUGACCACAGCUGUUGUUCUCAACCUCAAUAACUAAUAAGCAGUGGUUAUUCUCUUGUAUAGUCACACACUGACCCAAAACCAAAUAAAGAGAUAUUCUAACAGUUUUGUUUCAUUAGCCUAAAGUAUGUUUUCUAAGGUCAUCUGUGAUAAGUAGCAGGGGCUGGCAACACAUGGUGCUCCCUUAUUUGAGUAACAGAUACAAUUCUUCAUUCCUAUUCUUGUUUACUUAUUUAAUAAAAAAAAUUCAAUAUACUUAUUAAGCACUGACUGUAGACCAAGCACUAGGGGAUACAGUGGGGAAAAAAAUCAAAUAUUGUCCUUGCUCUCAAGGAGCUAAGACGCUAGUGGGAAAGAUCAUUCCUUAAAGCGCUGUAUAUUAAUAUCUACGUAAAUUCAUAUUAAAAUUCAAUAGAGUUAUUUGGUCUUAACAGAAUUUCUCCAUGAAUAAUUUUAUAAGGUAAAGAUCUGACUAAUAUAUCUAGGAGUUGGGUCGCAUCCAUUAGACUUGAUUAAAACACAGUGUAUUUUCCUUCUUGAAUGAUAAUUUUUUUUUGCAAGUGGGUCUUACUAUGAAGCCUAAGCUGAAAGUGAACCUGGCGCCCUUCUGCCUCUGCCUCCUGAGUGCUGGAUUAUAGACUUGUGCCCUAUUCCUGCACUACAUAGGAUUUUCUGAAAAAGUGGGAGGAUAGCACACAGGAGAAAUGAGAGGCAGCCACUGGGGACAGUGUCUUAAGAAGUUUCUAGGGCUUGGAUCUUAAGGACAAUUAGAGUUGAUAAACAAAAGGAAGAGAUAACAGAGAAAAAGAAACACGUUUAUAGGAAACUACAGAUCCAUCUACACAUAAUGUGUUCCCUAUACUUUGGCUGCUCCUCCUGUGGAAUUAAAUCUUGGUGUACCCUUCUAGACAUUGUUCUGGACUUAUGUUGGCCCUCAUAGUCAAGAAGAAAGCUGGUAGAAAGAAGGCACCAUGUGGUUUCAAAGCAGUAAAGAAGCUAUAUUUUACUGGGUGAAAUUAAACUAUCAACAUACAAGACGGCAGAAAACUAGGAGGCGGAGAUGAGCACCGGCAUCCUGAGGAUCUUAUCUCUGACAUCAACUCAAGAGCAGAUACUAGAAGUUGCUUGCCACCCACACCAACAACCUGAAUUCCAUCCCUGGAGCCCACAGGAUAGAAGGAAAGAAUCAAAUCCUAAAAGUUGCCAAUGACCUCCACAUGUUCAUUGUGGAAUGUGCAUGCACACAAACUAAAUAAAUGUGAAAAAAAAAAGGAAAGAAAAUUAAAACAACAAACAUUAGAAAAGUACAUUAGGGCAAGAACCUGCAAGGUGUUCUAUUUUCCCCCAAUUUCCUUCAUGGUUUCAAGAUGAAAACACAUUGGCUGAACACAGAAAAGUGGCUAUUCCUUUUGUUCUUGAUGCCAUUGACUUUUACUUAUAUUUUUACUGUACCUUGUUUUUUUGUUUGUUUGUUUUUGUUUUUGUUUUUUGAGACAGGGUUUCUCUGUGUAGCUUUGCGCCUUUCCUGGAACUCACUUGGUA